UACGAAGGGGGCUAGCGUUGCUCGGAAUCACUGGGCGUAAAGCGCACGUAGGCGGAUUGCUAAGUCAGGGGUGAAAUCCUGGAGCUCAACUCCAGAACUGCCUUUGAUACUGGCGGUCUCGAGUCCGGGAGAGGUGAGUGGAACUGCGGGUGUAGAGGUGAAAUUCGUAGAUAUUCGCAAGAACACCAGUGGCGAAGGCGGCUCACUGGCCCGGUACUGACGCUGAGGUGCGAAAGCGUGGGGAGCAAACAGG
rnacentral:rRNA from 1 species